AGGCAGCAGUGGGGGAAUAUUGCACAAUGGGGGAAACCCUGAUGCAGCCAUGCCGCGUGUGUGAAGAAGGCCUUCGGGUUGUAAAGCACUUUCAGUAGGGAGGAAGGUAGUGUAGUUAACACCUGCAUUAUUUGACGUUACCUACAGAAGAAGCACCGGCUAACUCCGUGCCAGCAGCCGCGGUAAUACGGAGGGUGCGAGCGUUAAUCGGAAUUACUGGGCGUAAAGCGCAUGCAGGCGGCCUGUUAAGUCAGAUGUGAAAGCCCGGGGCUUAACCUCGGAAUUGCAUUUGAAACUGGCAGGCUAGAGUCUUGUAGAGGGGGUAGAAUUUCAGGUGUAGCGGUGAAAUGCGUAGAGAUCUGAAGGAAUACCAGUGGCGAAGGCGGCCCCCUGGACAAAGACUGACGCUCAGAUGCGAAAGCGUGGGGAGCAAACAGGAUUAGAUACCCUGGUAG
rnacentral:rRNA from 1 species